rnacentral:tRNA from 1 species
AGGGGAGUCGCCAAGUUGGUUAAAGCACUGGAUUUUGAUUCCAGCAUGCGAAAGUUCGAAUCCUUCUUCCCCUGCCA